GCCAACGGCUAUACCACGAUGAACACACCAGUUCUCGUCCGAUCACUGAAGUUAAGCAACGUCGGCCCGGUUAGUACUUAGAUGGGUGACCGCCUGGGAACCGGUGCUGUUGGUA
rnacentral:rRNA from 1 species